AGAAAACUAAAGUCCACUUUACAUCAACAAUAAAUUGGACAAGAAAUUGACCAAGUUAUUCAAGGCCAAAUUUGACGUGUAAAAGCACACUUUGACAUCUAAGUUUGUUCGUUAUAAACUUCACGUGAAGAAAUUGACGAAAAAGAAAAUUGUUCUAUUUUUUCAUUUAUUUGGCGUGAAUUCAGUGUCACCAACCUGUGUCCAUUUGGCGGGAAGUGGAAGUAGAGCUUUUUGUUUAUUAUUAGGCAAUCCAAACCACGUGACCUCUGGUUGGCACACAAACUAAAGAAGAGGUUAUGUUUGUAUCUAUUUUUCAAUGAUUUUUCAUUGUUUAUCGUCGUAUUUUGGAUUCAUUUGGAUUUCGUUUCCUGUUUUUGUGAACUUUAUAAACUUUACCACAAUGCGAACUGAUUAUUUAAGGAAAUUAUUAUUGGAAACUCCAGAUGUUGCGAGAAAGAUAUUUAUUGAAGCUGAAAAUAAUUGGGGAUUUAGAUCCAUACGGAAUUCAGUCAGAAUUGGAUUUUACAGUAAAGUGCAGUCCAUCAAGUUACUAUUAUAGAUAUGUAUUUAUACAGAUCUGGUGGAGUCUCACAGUUGCUACUCUAAGCAGCAGAUGAAAGCAUACAAAAGCCUUCAGGCACAUAAAUAUUUUACAGCUGGAUUUGUUUUGAAUGGAGUAAAAAUUGUUAAUGAUUUCCUGAUUUCCAUAUUAUUGUUGGAAAGGUGAAGCAUUUCCAAAAAGCUAAUGCUAAACGACUAAAUGCUUGGGUGGGGUGAUAGCCAGUUCUGAUGACAUAGCAAAUGCACAUUGUAUGCGUAUGGCCGGUAAUAGUGAAGUCUGCAGCCAUAUUGCAGCAAUCCUAUUUUUAGCUGAGUAUGCCCAGAGCCAGACAGACGAAGAAGAACCCAAUGCAUGUACAUAUGUUACAGCUACAUGGUUUGGAGAUAGCAACAUAUGCAUUCUCUGAUGAAAAACUAAUGAGUUUUGAAACUGUUCGGUCAGAGUGCUUGUUGCGCUCACUAAACGAACUGAAAUAUAAGAAGUCUUUGGCAUUGUGUUGCAGCGAUAUGAAAAUGGUUAUUCAUUUUUAAUUAUAAUGUACUUCUUCAUCAUGAGUAAUUAUGUAUUGGUCUUUUAGAUGUGUAUUUAUUUUUGUAAUUAGUAUCAACUUGUAAUGAUAAUAUACAUUUAUCGUUUAAGGUACGACUAUGUUUUGACUCUAAAAUAAAUGUUUUAAAAAUCGAAUCCUGCCUCUUUCUGUUAGUAACUACCCAUGGAUAUCACAAAUUGUGCUUACUGAUAGGUUUGUUCGUAGAACGAUCAGCAACUCUUGCCAACCAUCAGACACAUGCGCAUUUGUAGUCUAUGAAUGCUAACUAUUAACUGCACAACGCUAACUGUUAACUGCUCAUGCAUCUGAUGGUUGGCAGCAGUUGCUAAUCGUUUGUGUCGUACUACAAACAAACCUAUUAGGUCUGGAUCCUGUGUACCAAAAAAAUUGAUUAAUAGCAAGCUGAAAAUUUGUUAAUAGUUUAACGGUGUCCAGUUGGACAAACUUUGAUGUAUUGUGACACUGGAACAGGGGUAGUUUUAAUUGUGAAACAGUUUGGAAACUCAGAUUUGGAACAUCAGAUUACGAAAACAUCCCAUAAAUUUUGUCGGACAGAACAUCCAAUUGAUCUGUUACCCUUUCAUUAAAUUCUCAUGCAAAAAUCAGACUGCUAUUACUAACCAACAUGAUUCCUGUAGUUUGACAUGGUCUUCGUGUUCUACUCAUUAAAAUGUCCAGUUGGUGAUUUUUUCACCAGUCUGGUUUUUGCAUGAGAGUUUAAUGAAUUGGUAGCAAAUCAAUUGGAAGUUUUAUCUGACAAAUUACAUAAACAUUUUCGUAGUUUGACGUUCCAAAUUUUUAACCUGUUCUACAGUUAAAACUUCUAGUGUUCCCAUACAUCAAAGUUUGUCGGACUAGACACUGUUAAGCUAUUAAUAAAUUUUCAGCUUGCUAUUAAUCAACUUUUUUUUGGUACGCGGGAUCCAGGUCUAUAUGGAAUAAAUAAAUAACAAAACAAAUUCCCUGUCAAAACUGCAUUUAUUUUGAAUAGAAUGAAAAACAAAAUAAUAUUGUUUUAACAAAAUAGGGGAUAAAUGUUAAAAUUUAGUAUUAAUAAAGUUUGUCACAUUGGCCUAAAAUUAAUGUCACUAGUUACGUUAGUGUCACAUAUAAAUAAUUGUAAUAAUAUUAAUAAAAACCAUAAUUCCUAGCAUGAGUGCGUCCUGUUUUUUGAUAAUUUAGUUAGGCGAGGAAACAUAAAUGAGUUUCUAAUAGGGCUUUUCAUUGAUUGUCAUUUGUUUCGAGCUUCCGUUAGAUGUUGUAUAAUUCGUGUAUAAUAUUACUAUACACGGAUUAUAGGACAUAUGACAGAAGCUCAAAACAAAUGACUGUGAAUGAAAAGCCCUAUAGAGGGAACACGAAAAAAAUUAACAUUAUCCGAUCAGCUCGACUUUCACAGUUCACUACUAUACAAGUUACAGGCAUGUUUUCAGCACUUUUUUUUUUAUUAAUGGCUUUGACAUAGCCAAUUAGCCAUUUUCAGCACUUAAAAUCACCAAAAACGAAAAGUUUAUAAAAUAAUCAAUCUAAUGAAUGUCUUUAAAUACUAUAUUAAGCUCAAAAUCAGGAUAAAAAACAAAUUAAAAUUAACAUUAUUCUGAUCAGUUGGACUUCCACAGUUCACUACUAUACAAGUCACAGGCAUGUUGUCAGCACUCAAAAUCACCAAAAACGUAAAGUUUAUAAAAUAAUUAAUCCAAUGAAUGUCUUUAAAUACUAUAUUAAGCUCAAAAUCACGACAAAAAACAAAUUAAAAUUAACAUUAUUCUGAUCAGUUGGACUUCCACAGUUCACUACUAUACAAGUCACAGGCAUGUUGUCAGCACUCAAAAUCACCAAAAACGUAAAGUUUAUAAACUAAUUAAUCUAAUGAAUGUCUUUUAAUACUAAAUUAGCUAAAAAAUCACGACGAAAAACAAAUACGAAAAAUCAAAAAUUACAUUGAGUUUAGGUUAAGAACGGUUUUGUGUGCCAACCAAAGAUCACGUGAUUUAACUUUGACAGGUCGAUGGAUUCCCUAAUUAUUUGUUGAGGUUGAGUCUUUCAUGUUCAUGACAACCUAAAAAUUUUGAUUGGAAAAUGCAUAAUAUAAGAUAAGGGGGUGGGAAAAUGGAAAUUAGUGGCUUUUUUGCAGUUCUGUCUGUUAGUUUUGCUCUGGCUGGGUCUCUUUUGUUUAAACAAUUAUAAUCAGCUGAAAGUGGUCUACAAAAAAACCAGGAAGGAAACGUAUUAUAGCCUUGUUGUGGCUAUGAAAGGCAAAAGAAAGAUACCUAUAAAAAGUGUAUUGACUAGUUGGAAGAAACUCCACAUUGUCGAUGCAUAAUAAGAUAUUACUUUAUAAACAAAUAUCAAGACCUAGGAAUGGAACCUGGAUAAUAUAGUCAUCAAGAAGAUAGCAGGAGGUCAUGAGCAACAACAACUUCAUAAGUAUGAGAAUAUUGAGGAAAUCCAGCUCCUCGAUAUCUACUACUGGACAAACUAGAAGAUUGAAGAGGACAAAGCCUUUUGAACUAGUUUGAGUGAUAGGUGAUAGUGAAAAGCAGAGCGUAGUGCUUGUGUGCCUGUGUAUGUUAGAAUAGUGCACGAUCUUGUUAGAUUAGAUAAGAGACGCUAUAGGGUAAGCUCUUCAUUUUAAGGAACAGUAGUAAUUUAGGUUAAAUUAAAAUUGCUCAUUGGUCAGUUAUGACCAGAUUGUAAUUCUCUGAUGUUUGGCAAAAAGGGCUGAAGUCAGAAUUGCACAUCAAUAAUGUUUUGAUGAUUUCUGGACCAUAAAAAAAGUGUUGCAGACUUAAACUGUAUGUACCAAUAAAAAGAGCCGAUUUUUCUGGUCCAGAAAUCAUCAAAACAUUAUCGAUGUGCAAUUCUGACUUAAGCCCUUUUUCCCAAACAUCAGAAUUGCAAUGUACAAUUCAAUACAAAUGAAUCAUCAUCGUAGUGAUGAUUAUGGAAAAAAAAAUAUAUAUAUAGAAAUAUAUAUAUUUUGUGCAAUAAAAAUGUUUAUAUUUAUCAAGGAUGUAUUAUUUGGUAUGGCCACAUAUACUUCUGGUAUAUCGUCGGUGAUGUGACAAUACCUCCUAUCUGCUUUUUCAUGAAUUUUGUAGGAGACGAAAAACCAUUUUUAGGGUCAUCUGUUUUCACAUGUAAAUUUUGACAUGUUUUGUAGUAAAUAGAUAAUUGAAUUUACUACAAAACAUGUCAAAAAAUAUCAUAUGAAAACAGGAGGUGACUGUAAAAAAAGUUUUUAGUCUCUCUUACAAAAUGGUUAACAGUUAAUAGAGAGACAGAUAAUCGAGGUUCCACUGUAUAGUGAAAUUUGGACACCCGACACCCCAUACAAAUUUUAUGGGGGUUUUGUUCGUUUAAACCCCCUCCAAACUUUUGUGUAAGUUACAAUUGAAUUAUUAUUGUGGUACUAUUAAACACAAUGUUUUUAAAACUUUUUUGCCUCUUAGUACUUUUUUGAAGUCAGUUUUUAUCGUGAUAUUUUGAAUAUUUGUCAAAUCCACCACAUAUUUGUAUAUGGUUAAGUACGAUUGUAGAGACUAAUAAUAUGAAAAUUUAUUUAUGAUUUACAUUUUUAGGUAUAUUUUGAACCAUUUUAAAAAGAAGCCAUAUCUUGAUAAAAAGAGCUUUAUCAAAAAAAUAGAAAGAGGUAAAAAAGUUUUAAAAACACAGUGUUUAACUAAUGGUACCGCAGAAAUAAUUUAAUUGGAACGUACCCAAAAGUUUGGGGGGGUUAAAGGGAACAAAACCCCCAUAAAAUUUUUAUGGGGUGCACAAAUUUCACUAUAAUUUUUCUUUAAGAUGUUACUGCAAUAAUAUUGCUUCAUGUCCAUUUUCAAUAAAAAAUCUUUAAUAGUUUUCGAUAUAUUCGAAAAAAUCGAAUUUUCAUUUUGUAUCUUCAAAGGGCUGUAACUUUUUUUGUGUGCAUAUUUGUACUAAGGUAAGUUAGGUUCAUUCAAAUUAUUUUUGGUCCCAGAAUAUGUGAUUUAAUUUACGACCAAUCUUUUCGGGACACCCUGUAUAAUAAAUGGGAUUAGCUGGCUUAAAAAUUCAUAAUCUACGUUCUGUAGAAAAUAUACAGUUUUUGGUUUCUUUUUAACUAGAUCUUAAUAUCUAACCAAGCAUUUUAAGACCUUUUUAUUAUUUUUUCGAUGAUAUAUUCAUGUUUUUAGUUUGUUCAAAAUAUUCUAGAUGAUUGUACACUAUAAUAGAUAGCCAACUAAAUAAACACAAAAAUUUUAUUUUUGUUACAGCCUGUAUAUAAGUUUACCUAUAUAUACAGUGCAUUACGCACCACCUUAAAAAUUGGGCAUUUUUGAUGUCUCGAAUUUCCUAAACCUGUUGUCCCAUCUAAGUGAUUUUUUUAUAAUAAUAUAGCCUGAGGCUAUAGGUUACUGCCUUAUGCUUGUCAUGCACGGGGAGCUAUACUGUAAUAUACAUUAUAUCACGUCGCUCUCUAUAGUAAUGAGUGAGCCUGCACAUACGGAACCAUUAGUUCCCUGUCUGCAGGCUCACUCAUUACUAUAGAGAGCGAUAUGAUAUAAUAUACAUAUAUUACAGUAUAGCUACCAGUGCAUGACAGGCUUAAGGAUGUAACCUAUAGCCUAGGCUAUAUUAUAAAAAAAUCACUCAGAUGAGACAACAGGUUUAGAAAAUUCGAGACAUCAAAAUGCCCUAUUUUUAAGGUGGUGCGUUAAUUUCUUGGAGAAGUGUAUUGUAAUUUAAUGUAAAUAAUGUAAUAUCCAAUAAUUGUAAUUUAAUAUAAGAUGUAAUAUAAGUUCCUUAAAAA